CGAGCGGAAUGAUGAAGAAGCUUGCUUCUUCUGAUUUUAGCGGCGGACGGGUGAGUAACACGUGGGCAACCUACCUUGUAGAUUGGGAUAACUCCGGGAAACCGGGGCUAAUACCGAAUAAUCCAUUUUGCUUCAUGGCGAGAUGUUGAAAGACGGUUUCGGCUGUCACUACAAGAUGGGACCCGCGGCGCAUUAGCUAGUUGGUAGGGUAAUGGCCUACCAAGGCGACGAUGCGUAGCCGACCUGAGAGGGUGAUCGGCCACACUGGGACUGAGACACGGCCCAGACUCCUACAGGAGGCAGCAGUAGGGAAUCUUCCACAAUGGACGAAAGUCUGAUGGAGCAACGCCGCGUGAGUGAAGAAGGUUUUCGGAUCGUAAAACUCUGUUGUAAGGGAAGAACACGUACGAGAGUAACUGCUCGUACCUUGACGGUACCUUAUUAGAAAGCCACGGCUAACUACGUG
rnacentral:rRNA from 1 species